rnacentral:rRNA from 1 species
GACGAACGCUGGCGGCGUGCCUAAUACAUGCAAGUAGAACGCACAGUUUAUACCGUAGCUUGCUACACCAUAGACUGUGGGUUGCGAACGGGUGAGUAACGCGUAGGUAACCUGCCUGGUAGCGGGGGAUAACUAUUGGAAACGAUAGCUAAUACCGCAUAAUAUUAAUUAUUGCAUGAUAAUUAAUUGAAAGGUGCAAUUGCACCACUACCAGAUGGACCUGCGUUGUAUUAGCUAGUAGGUGAGGUAACGGCUCACCUAGGCGACGAUACAUAGCCGACCUGAGAGGGUGAUCGGCCACACUGGGACUGAGACACGGCCCAGACUCCUACGGGAGGCAGCAGUAGGGAAUCUUCGGCAAUGGACGAAAGUCUGACCGAGCAACGCCGCGUGAGUGAAGAAGGUUUUCGGAUCGUAAAGCUCUGUUGUAAGAGAAGAACGGGUGUGAGAGUGGAAAGUUCACACCGUGACGGUAUCUUACCAGAAAGGGACGGCUAACUACGUG